rnacentral:rRNA from 1 species
GAGCACAAGUGGGAUAUGGCAAAUGGCGGAAACCCUGACCCAACGACACCGNCGUGGGGGAAGAAGUCUUUCGGGGAAUGUAAAACCCCUUUGGUGGUACGGACAGAAAGGAAGUGNACGGUACCCGUACCGAGGAAGCCCCGGCAAACUACGUGCCAGCACCGCGGUAAUACGUAGGGGGCGAGCAUUGUCCGGAAUCACUGGGCGUUAAAGCGCACGUAGGCGGGCUGUCAAGUUCUGGCCUGUGAAAGGUCAUGGGCUCAACCUUGUGCAUUGUCGGUCGAUACUGGCGGUUCUGGAGUAUUGGGAGAGGGAACUGGAAUUCCCGGUGUACGGUGAUAAUUGCGUAGAUAUCGGGAGGAACACCAGUGGCGAAGGCGGGUUCCUGGCCCAUGACUGACGCUGAGGUGCGAAAGCCGGGGGUAGCGAACGGGAUUAGAUACCCCGGUAGUCCCGGCUGUAAUACGAUGGAUGCUAGGUGUGGGGGGGUUACACUUCUGGCACGCAGCUAACGCGAUAAGCAUCCACGCACGGGGAGACGAUCGCAAGAGGAAACUCAAAGGAAGACGGGGGCACACGCACAAGCGGUGGAGCACGGGAAUCGAGCAAACCGAAGAACAGAACAUGGGGACAGCACGUGGACGGAGAGAAAGCGAAGGAACCAC